CCACAGAGUAUGUGGAGCAAAUUUUAGCGCAAGAACAAGAAAACUUGUUGUUUUUGUAGAGUUCGGAACACCAAUCAAGAGCAGUAUGUGAUGAUAUAAUGGAUGAACUCUCCUAUGAAACAUAUUGUCUCUGCAUCUGUAAUGACUUCUCUCAUUAAAGAAAACAAAGUUCUGUUGUGGUAUAAAGGAAACAACCUUUGUCAUUAUGGCCCUUUAAACUUCAAAUUUGGAUAAAAUUGUGAAUGAUCAUGCUGGGAGCUUCCAAGAUUUUUCAAGCUAUUCCAUAUGCGAACAUCAAUGUUUUUUUGAAGGCUUCAAGAGAAGAUUGCUUCCUGUGGUUCGAAGUCGUCGAAUUGCUUCCAGUGCUACUACUUUACUCACCAGCAGCGCCACAACAACUGUUGCUGUUGCCACCAUCUGUUCCUCCUCAAACUCUUCCUCAUCCAAAUAUCAGCGGAAGUUGCCUAGACUCGCAUGAAUCAAAUGAUACUGCACACGAGGCAAGCAAGG